AGCUUGCUGGGUUGGAUGAGUGGCGAACGGGUGAGUAACACGUGAGUAACCUGCCCCCUUCUUUGGGAUAACGGUCGGAAACGGCUGCUAAUACCGGGUAUUCACUGUCCUUCGCAUGGGGGGUGGUGGAAAGGUUUUUUCUGGUGGGGGAUGGGCUCGCGGCCUAUCAGCUUGUUGGUGGGGUGAUGGCUUACCAAGGUCUUUGACGGGUAACCGGCCUGAGAGGGUGACCGGUCACAUUGGGACUGAGAUACGGCCCAGACUCCUACGGGAGGCAGCAGUGGGGAAUAUUGCACAAUGGGCGAAAGCCUGAUGCAGCGACGCCGCGUGAGGGAUGACGGCCUUCGGGUUGUAAACCUCUUUCGCUCAUGGUCAAGCCGCAACAGUGGUUGUGGUGAGGGUAGUGGGUAAAGAAGCACCGGCUAACUACGUGCCAGCAGCCGCGGUAAUACGUAGGGUGCGAGCGUUGUCCGGAAUUAUUGGGCGUAAAGGGCUUGUAGGCGGUUUGUCGCGUCUGCCGUGAAAUCCUCUGGCUUAACUGGGGGCGUGCGGUGGGUACGGGCAGGCUUGAGUGCGGUAGGGGAGACU
rnacentral:rRNA from 1 species